rnacentral:rRNA from 1 species
AAAGGAAUAGACGGGGGCCCGCACAAGCAGUGGAUUAUGUGGUUUAAUUCGAAGCAACGCGAAGAACCUUACCAGGUCUUGACAUCGAGUGCAUAGCUUAGAGAUAAGUGAAGUCUUCGGACACUCAGACAGGUGGUGCAUGGUUGUCGUCAGCUCGUGUCGUGAGAUGUUGGGUUAAGUCCCGCAACGAGCGCAACCCUUACGAUUAGUUGCUACGCAAGAGCACUCUAAUAGGACUGCCGUUGACAAAACGGAGGAAGGUGGGGAUGACGUCAAAUCAUCAUGCCCCUUACGACCUGGGCUACACACGUAAUACAAUGGCGCUUGAACAAAGGGAAGCAAUACGGUAACGUGGAGCCAAGCCCCAAAAAGCGUCUCAGUUCGGAUCGCAGGCUGCAACUCGCCUGCGUGAAGUCGGAAUUGCUAGUAAUCGCGGAUCAGCAUGCCGCGGUGAAUACGUUCCCGGGCCUUGUACACACCGCCCGU